GACCCCGCACAAGCGGUGGAUCAUGUUGUUUAAUUCGAAGAUACGCGAAAAACCUUACCAGGUCUUGACAUCCCUUGCAAUGCUGUAGAGAUACAGUGGAGGUUAUCAAGGAGACAGGUGGUGCAUGGUUGUCGUCAGCUCGUGUCGUGAGAUGUUGGGUUAAGUCCCGCAACGAGCGCAACCCUUAUUGCUAGUUGCCAUCAUUUAGUUGGGGACUCUAGCGAGACUGCCAGUGAUAAACUGGAGGAAGGUGGGGAUGACGUCAAAUCAUCAUGCCCCUUAUGACCUGGGCUACAAACGUGAUACAAUGGCUAUUACAGAGGGCCGCAAAGCUGUGAAGUGAAGCUAAACCCUUAAAAAUAGUCUCAGUUCGGAUUGAAGUCUGCAACUCGACUUCAUGAAGCCGGAAUC
rnacentral:rRNA from 1 species